UUUCAAUAUAGAUAAUCCCUAAAUAAAUAUAUUUUUGUCUCUUUGUCAGUCAUUGAAAUACCACAGAUAAGUGGGGAAGGUCUUGGAAAAAGGCUGCCAUUCUUUAGCCAGGAGAUGCAACCUGCUCACUGAGUCCAGGCUGCAGCCUCCAGGCCACAAUGGAAGGAAAGACAGGUCUCCGGUGGGUUGACGACACCUCAGGCUGUCCCUGCAGGUGCGCCGGCAUCAGGCAGGGAACAGGACCGCCCUUGCCUGUUUUGGACGCUUUGGUUUUCCGCCGUGACGCGGCCCUGUGAGGAGAAGUAACUCUCUAAAGUUACAUGAAGCCUGCAGCAAAGUCCUCAGCUGCCACCCGUCCCGGCGUCUGCAGCUCUGCAGGGCUGGCUGUCAGGCCUGCUGCUGGGAUCAUCUGGGAGCUUUGAGGAUCUCCAGAGGUCUGGCUCCCCCAAGGAUUUUGGUGUGACUGGGGAGUCAGUGCGGCCAUCAGCUUUCUCGGUGCCGCCCACGUGAUUCUCCUGUGAGCCAGGGUUGAAGACUUCUGCAGCAAAGCGGCACAUUUGGAGCCAACACAGUCAGGUACCAGUUAGGUCGUGAUGCUGGUCAGUGGGGCCUCCCUUGACCGUUCUCUUGCUGCUCUGAGCGACUGUCUUCUCAGUGGACCUCAAAGUGGGAUGUCUGGGCCAGCCAUGGAGCAUCACCUGAGAAGUUGAUAGAAAUGCAGAUUCCUGGCUGCACCCCGGAGCUGCUGGCUCUUGAACUCUGGGGUGAGGCCCGGCAGUGCAAGUUCUAAGGAGGCUCCAGGUGGCUCUGAGGCUGCUCAGUUCGAGAACCACCGUCUCCGUGUUGGUUCUGGGGUCACAGUAACUGUAUCUACCUUUCACGGCAUUGGAAGAGCACAGGGGACAGUUGAAUCUCUGGCCAGUCUGGGGGUGACAUUUCCCUUCCUCCACACCCUACCUCCAAACCCUGUCUCACACCUUCUUCCUCCCACCUUUUGACAAGACAGGUAAUAAGUCUGAGACGUCUCUGCAUACAGGCCCCACCCCAUUUCCAGGCCACUCAGACCUAUUCUGGGGGCCUUUCAAGGUGAAAUAGAAGCCAACAGCCUUUUGACUCAAUAACACACCUGCUAGGAAUUCACCCAGCAUCUGCAUUCUCAAUGGAACGCCUGAUAUAUGGAUGGGGCCAGUCUUGAAGGGGCUGUUUGUAAUUGCAAAGCAGACAAAGCACGGCAAAGCAGAAAUGGGAAAUCACCUGAGUGCGUCUUAACAGGGAACUGGUUACAUAAAUGAUGGUGCAUUAUUGACACCCUGGCCUGCCUGACCAUGGGUCCCACAGCUCUCGUGCCUCUGAAGCGGGCCUGGCUUGCUGGGACACCCUCAGGGCCAGGAGGCCACAGCUGCCCCACCUGCACCUUCUGUCGCGUGGACGCUCCGCCCCUCACUGGCUCCUGCCGGCCUCACCCGUCACAUUGUGUAGGACGCUUGUGACUGCUCUAAAACCACAGGGCUUUCAAGCUGUCCCCUCCAAGGUCCCCUCCUGUGUCCAGCACCAUCGUGACUGCCUCCUGCCGGGCUGCCCCUGCCUGGCCCUCAGGUGCCUGUGGUUUAAAUCUCCUGGCAUUGCUGAGCACGGGUCUGGUGUGCAGAUGGAGGUGACUGAUGCGUAGGAGGAAGCUGAUGGACAGUUCGUCCCUUCGCCAGCAGCUGUGUUGUGUUCAAAGGUGGAAACAAACCAGCUAGGCUCUCAGUGACCCCACCCAACAGGCAUUUCCUCAACGUGACUGUGACAUCCACAGGGUCCCGGCCGCCAUUCUGCAGAGACUCCUGAGUCCGUGAAGUGGAUCCAGGGCCUCCAACCGCCCCAGCUGAUCUGCCAGGAAAGGGGUCCCUGCUGCCCGGGGGCUGCCUCGGCUGGCGCCACGUGGAGAUGAACAGGAGACAACUCACUGGAGCCCGUGGCACAGCCUGAGGGAGACAACUCACGGGAGCCCGUGGCACAGCCUGAGGGAGACAACUCACUGGAGCCCGUGGCACAGCCUGAGGGAGACAACUCACGGGAGCCCGUGGCACAGCCUGAGGGGUCUCUGGGUUGCCCACAGCUUCCCCAGGAGCUCACACAGGUCAGGCCAAGGGGAAGGGAGCCCAGUGCACACCCCCAGGCUCUGCGGUCCGAAUGCUUGUGUUCCCAAAAAUUCACAUGGAAUCCUCACCUCCCAGAGUGCUCCCCAGCCCCUUCCACCAUGGGAGGACGCGGCACAGGGUGCCGUUACCACCUGGGAAGCACAGCCUCACCAGACGCGGAAACUGCUGGAGCAGAGACCUUGGCUUCCAGCCUCCAGCGCCAAGAGGAGCGGAUUCCUGUCGUGGGCCAGCGUGUUCUGCGUGGUGGCCGGGAUGGACCGAGACUGGGUAGAUGCCAUCCUGACUGCUGACGUUUGGGACGUGAGACAUCUGGGGGCAUGGGGCAGCCCGCUGCGGCCAGGUGGGGUCAUGGGGCAGCCCACUGGGGUCAGGUGGAGGUCACGGGGCAGCCCGCUGGGGUCAGGUGGGGUCACGGGGCAGCCCGUUGGGGUCAGGUGGGUGUCACGGGGCAGCCCGCUGGGGUCAGGUGGUUCACGGGGCAGCUGGGCUCAGGUGGGGUGGGUGGGAUAUUCAGCCGCUUCCGAUUAUUUUCAGUAAAUUACUUCCAGGCCACACAUAUCUCAUUUCUCUUCUGAAAAACCCGUCUCAAAAACUCCCUUUCUCUUGAUAUUUCUCUGGCCAAGUCUACCCUGCAACACGCUGGUAAAAUGUAAAAUUCCUUCGCACGAGAGUGAAGAGGAUGAUCCCCAGGUGCGUCUCUCCAUUCCCGGGUCCUAACGAUUCCUCCUUAAGCCGGCUACCUGCGCGGGGGCCACGCUCUCCCACUGGGAGGAUGGUUUCUGGGACAUGCGGCGUCUCCUCCUUGUGCCUGUGCGUCUGAGAGAACUGGGGCGUCUCCUUGAACUGGGACGUCUCCUCCUCGUGCCUGUGUGGUCUGAGAGAACUGGGGCGUCUCCUCCAACUGGGGCGUCUCCUCCUCGUGCCUGUGCGUCUGAGAGAACUGCGGGGUCUCCUCCUCGUGCCUGUGUGGUCUGAGAGAACUGCGGGGUCUCCUCCUCGUGCCUGUGCGGUCUGAGAGAACUGCGGUGGCCCCUUGUGGGCCUCUUGGUUCUGGGGACAGAGGACACUUUUCACUCAGCCCGGGGACCUUUGGUUCUUUCUGUGAAGAUGGCGCCCAUGAGAUGACGCCUUGUGACUCAGGUACCUCAGCCCUGCGCCUCCGUCUCUGCGUCUCUGUAUUGGGUUGGUGGCGUCCACACUGUCUGCGUCGUUGCUGAGCAUCCCAGGUCCCCACUCAGCCCGGCCUCGUGUUUUCUCUUGUCCUCCUGACUGGAGUUCCAGUUCUUACCUUGCAGAUGGUGCGCUUGUCACCCUCUGCCGUCUCCACAGCAUCUGGGCCGGGUCCCCCCAGG
rnacentral:lncRNA from 10 species